UACGGGGGGGGCAAGCGUUGUUCGGAAUUACUGGGCGUAAAGGGCUCGUAGGCGGCCAACUAAGUCCGACGUGAAAUCCCCAGGCUUAACCUGGAAAUUGCCGUUGAUACUAUAUAUCUUGAAUGCUGUGGAGGUAAGCGGAAUAUGUCAUGUAGCGGUGAAAUGCUUAGAGAUGACAUAGAACACCUAUUGCGAAGGCAGCUUACUACGCAGAUAUUGACGCUCAUGCACGAAAGCGUGGGGAUCAAACAGG
rnacentral:rRNA from 1 species